UGGAAUACAAUCUGAAAAAAGAUAACUGAAUCACUCUGCUGUACACCUUAAACUAACACAAAUUGUAAAUCAACUAUACUUUAAUAAAAAAAUAUUGAACUAGCUCCCAGUGUUAAAAAUUAGGGAAUUUCACAUAAAAAUUGGGAUUUCUGCCUUCUUUUGAAAAUUCAGGAGGUGUGUGGCAAGUCAGGGCCUGCAAUUCCACCGGCAAAGCUGCCUGAAGUCGAGGUGCAACACCCCCGCAGUCUGCUGUGAUCUCCUCCAACCCUCUCACCCUUCGUUCACACACAGACAUGCAGAGAUUUGAGUUGUUUGUGCCCAGCUAGAAGAACAAGCUGGCGGGAAGAGGCUGACUGAAACCGAAAAGAAGAGGACUGGAGGGGUGAGAUCUUCUUGGGUGUGCAACGGGCCCAAAGCAGUAUGGGCGACCCUGGGUGGACCGACAGAGAACUAGUUAGGAGGGCAAGGUAGUCAUCGAGGGGGCAGGGAGAUGGCUGGACUAUUGACUGUCUUAUUUGCCUCCUUUAAAUGGGGAGAAAAUGCAGCAGAGAUAAAGCACAUGUCCCCUUUAACCUAAAUGCAGAGCAUACGGUUCGCUCCUUGGUUAAUCCUCCCGUGGACAAUGGUAUCUUUAGAGCCUAAUAUAAAUCACAUUGUUACAGUGCUUUAGGGUUAGUAAAGCACUUUUACAUACAUUUUCUUUCACAUACCCCUAACCACAAUUUUGUGAGCUAGACUAGGCAAACAGUAUUGUUGUGUAUCGUAGAUGAGGAAAUGGAGGCCGAGGUUUGAUGGAAUUCAAACCGGACUUUGUCACCACAGCCCACGGACUCGCUGUUCCUUGGCAAUGACCUGUCCUGGACUGCAAGGAACACUGGGCCACUUCAACCUGCCUGGACAGCGGCUGUUCAGACACCACAAUGCUGGCUAGUGACUUAGGAGGUUUUUCCCUUACUAGGAUGAUCUUUCCCUGAGCAAAUUCACCCCUCCUCCCCCAAACUCAGAGCGCCAGGAGUUUGCUCAGCCUGCAAGGCAGUGGUCAGUUAUGUCUAGAAACAUCCCUUAUUUGUUCACGAAAGCCCUGCAAAAUGUUUUGGCAAAUAAAUUCAGAAAGCCGGAAACGCUAAUUAUUAGGCAGAGACAAACCCACAGUAAUAACAUAAACAACAAAGUGCCUUUUCAGCGCUGCUAUUCAAUGUGCCUUCCUGUUGCCAGUGCCACGAAAAACACGCCGGGGAAUGGCCUGGAGGGGAUGGAAGAGGAAAUGACUGCUUCCAAGACCUCGUCCUGUGGGCAGGCUGCUGCCCUCCCAUUUACUACAGCAGAAUCAGAGAGGAAGGGCGGGUGGGGUUUGUGCAGGCAGAGAAAAAUAGCUCGAAGAAUGGAGCUCCUUAAGAAUACAGGGAAGGUGGGGCACUUAUAAUUCUUUAACGGAUGAACUUUUUUGUUUUUAGGUUGGCAGUAAAAUGAACGGGGAAAUAAAGAUUUUGCUCAGCUGGUUGCAGAUACAUAGGAACUAGUCCUUUGCCCAGACAGAUGCCCGUCUCGGUCCUCCACAUAUGGCUGUGCAUGGCGUGCCUUGUGUAAAGGUGUGUGCACAGUGGGCCCAGCCUGGGGGCUGAGACCCUUCCGGUAUUCUGCCCACUCAGCGGCGUGCCUUGUUCAGCCAGGAAGAAACACCUUUUUGUAAGUGGACGCCUGUUUUCAUUCACACAAAGGCACUCCCUGUGCUAGCAGCAGCCCCGACCUGGGUAAUGGUUUGCGCACGUCAGCUUUCUGGCCUUUCAAGCCUGUGUCGUUUUAAGCCACACAGUCACGUUGGAUGUCCUGGACUUAAGUACCAGCCAUGUCGAGCCUUACACAAAUCGGACACAGAACCUGCGGCUACGGAAGGCCAGCUGUACACCUUUAUCUUUAUCUUUGAAACACCCGCAGUAAGAAACACUGCUAGAACAGGAUAAAUGACUGCUUCCCUUCAUCAUCCGGUUCUUUUCAAUAACUCUUGAAGGUAAUAUGCUGAUAUGACAGUUUUUAAGACUAGGAUUAAAAAAAAUGAUCUUCUGGGUCAAGAAGGCUAUGGGCUUAAUCAGCUAAUGGAGAAUUUUUAAAUAGUUUCCUCUGGGGAUGACUUAGUUACGUGAUAUCGAUGAACACAUUUGUGACGUAUAAAUGAGGUUAGAGGAGGCUGUUUAAGAAGCACGUUUGAAACGUCAGAUAAAGUCUGAUGCCAUUUUUAGGUGCCAGCUUUUUCCCCACCAAUGGCACAUACUUUACCCCAACUGUAACACCUCCAGCUGUGUACUUGAAGUGGGCACAUUUUACUGAAUGUAAAGUAUAUCUCCAAGUUAGUUUAAACAAAUGUUUAAAUCUUUGUUAUGAUUCUGCCUACAAGAUACAUCACACAAUAGGCUACACAUGGUAGCUAAACAACUAAAAAUGAGUUGGCGAAAGACAAUUCAGCUUCUUCUUUCUUGUGCUAACAUUCUGCUUUCUUACGACAUACCUCCUGGGUUCCCCAGAAGAGAACUACAGCCUUUCACCCAGCCCUGUACUCUUCCCACAUCACAACCGCUGCGCGUUCCCAGUAUUAACGCUCAGGAACCAGGGCCGAGUAGCCAGCCCAACAGUCUGCUAAUGUGAGACUAAACGUCGAGCUCCGGAAAGUUAUUUUCAAAACACUCAAACUGGCUUGAGUUCCUCCCUGCUUCUCUAAAGCACAGAGCUUUUAGUUUUUUAUUUUGGGGGGCACUGGAGGGUUGGGGGGAAAUCUAUUGUGACAUCUCAGAGGGGUCUUCGACAGCCGUGGGCUUUUCUGAUCCCUUCUAAGGUCUUCUUCAAAGGCAAGGUAUUCAAGUGCUGCUUUUUGGUGGCUCCCUCUCUCCACACCCUCACUCUGCUUUGCUCCCAAUGUCUUAACUUCAUGGUGAACUCCCAGAUGGAGUGAUAAAGAUGUGUCAGUUAUCCAAAGCGUGCUAUAAAAAUAUCACUGUCUUCUGAUCUAUAAUAGAACUGUAGAGUUUUACUACCUGAGUGGACAAAUGUGAAACCUAUGGUUCUUUAAUAUGAGACCAGCUGCCAUUAGAGAAAAAGUACUCCUGUAGGACAACUUGAGAUUUUCUAAUUACUGGAGCAACACUGAACUUUCCCCAGGGUGUGUGUGUAUUUACAUAAAUGGCUACAGUACAGGCAAGGGGCAAGAGUGGAGACCAAAGUUUUGGACAAAACAUUGGUAUGCCCUAAAUUACUAUCUCAAGUAUGCUGAAUCUAAAGGUUUACUUUAUUCCAGGGAUAAUACAGAAUGAGUUUUAAUAGUUCCUCCAAAUCAAACACUAGGAAGCGUGAGUGUCCAAAAUUUCCUGAAGGACAAAUGCUAUUACUUGUUUGUCAGAAGUCUUAUAACUUCCUGCUAUAUCAUGUUUUAUUAUCUAUUAUUCAAUAUUUCUUGAGCAUUCACUCAGCACUGAGCUAAGUAAUGGAAACUAUGUGAAAUAAAAUGCAGACACAUUAUGGUUUGGUUGUAAAGUCUGCACUUAAAGUAAAAAUUAUAUACGGUCAAAAUUACCUGUGAAAAUUCCUAAAAUCACUGUCAAGUUACGCUUAAACUACUAGGAUCUGAAUUUUUGAAAGCCUAAAAGACAAAAGAAAAUUUCUUCUGUUUCUUUUAGCAUUUCAGCUGUGGCUUUCCCUUUCCUGAGGGAGCACUUCACGUAAGGUGAAUUGCCAGCUGCUAAAUGUGUAUAUGAUACAGUUUCUGGGUUAAGAAACUAUUUCUGACGUUAGUAAACCCACACUACAAAUACAUAUUUCACAUGAGGUACAGAUUAGAAAGCGCAUUUUAACUCCCUUUAGCAAACUGGGUUCUUGACUGCAAACUUGUGUGCCUGGUGUGGAAGAAACGAUCUUCCAUGUCAUAGAUGGGGACGAUGAAGCCCAGCGAAAUGGAGACACACCCAAGGUCGCACACAGAAAGGACUCUCCUGGUCCUGUGCUUUUACAGCACACCAGCCUCUGCAUACAUACCGUGCUCGGACACGUGAAAGGGGCUCGUGCAUACGCAGAAAGCAACACAACACACACCCCCACCCCCGAGGCUGUGCAAACUGACAGCACACUCUCCCAGGCGUAAGGACUAAUGCCAAAGGAGAACAGGAAUAUCCAAGGUGGAAUCUGGCAGAAGGAAGAUCUGGCUUAGAGGAGGGUGAGAGGAUAUUCCAGGUCAUGAGAAUGUUCCCAACAAAGGCACUGGAGGGAGGGAAGAGCAAGUAAAUUUGCCUCCCUGGAAGGAAGAACGUCCUGGAAGGUACAAUAGAAUGAGGUUUUGUAUUCCUCCCUUGGGGUCUAACCCUGAGGAUGUUACAACACUCCAACAUCCCACUUAGCUGAGGCUGGCUGAAGAGCAGAAAUGGAAUGGCCGUAACAGUGGCGAACAGACGUUUGCCCGUACGAUGAAAUAUCUAUCUGUUUUCACAUGCAAAGUAUAAGAGCUGAUACCUACUCGUAGUUGGGUACAAAGAGGAAAUAAACCUUGUUAUAUCUAUUACCCUUUCUGAGGCUUGACUUGGCCCCCAAGGGAAGUAAAUGCUUAUGUAUUCUCUAAUAGGGCUAAUGGCAGAGAUGCCUAUUUAUUUUACGUUUAUUUGCAGUGCUCCCGGGAGUUGAAAAAUUCCCUCCACCAAAGGAAAGCACAUAUAGGAAUCAAAUCACUAAGCUGCUCUUCUUUUACUACAAAUAAUGCAUUUAGGAGUUUGUUGGCAGGUGUCUUCAUUUGGCAUUUCCUGAGACAUAAGAACAAGGAAGGGGUGGGAAGGGCCAGGAGGAGCGAGCCAGGGAAGAAGAAACGAUGUCUGGAGGAAGACAAUGGAAGGCAGCCACCAACACUGCUUCUGGGCCCAGGGGACGAGACGAUACCAAAUAUCCAAACGUGGCUAUGUGCCCCUGCAUUAACCAAAUUAAGCACAGAAACAAAACAUCUCUCUCAUUUGUGUUCCGAUUUCAUGAUCAGGGGGUGGUUCACACAAAUGCAUUUAAAGCCUUCCAUCAUUUCUUUUCUUAGGUAGAAAAAGGGCCAGGCACUUCACACAGGAUAUUAGGCUCAGACUUGCCUCAGGUAAAUCCAUAAAGAAGGUAAAAAUGAGUCUGUCUUCACCGUCUCACUUACCCUCUCUGGAACUUUCUACCUAUUUCUGGCCUAGGGGUGAACUCUUGGGACAGUGACGCCGGUUCCAACAUGCUCUUCCUUCCACUUCCUCCUACUGCCCACCCGAUUUCAUAUCUGUUCCACCUUAACCCACUAGCCCAGGAAUCUGCAGAUAAAACAGAGGCAUUCCCCAUGGCACUCAGAGCCCCCUGGACUCUAUUUCUACUUAUAUUCAGGGUGGCCUGGCAAAGCAGGUCAUCUAAAGUUUCAAGUUCAGUGUGAUUUAGCUGACCUACUGAGAUCACUGAAAACCAAAUUCUCAGGUUAGGCAAAGGAGAGAAAAAGAGAUGACUUCAUCAUUGCUUCAGACAAUGAACACCCCUCAAAUUUAAAAAAGGUCAGCCAGUUACCCUACAUCCCAGACCUACUUCCACUUGUGUUAGAAAUUAAAUGCUCUACACAGCCUACGUGAAUCUCUCCAGUCAAAGGGUGAGGGGUUACAUUAGCUCACAUCUUUGCAGUUAGAAUAGUAAACAUAAUUUAACUUUUUACCAGGCUCAACAACAAUCAUCUGUGCUAACUACCCCCCCAAAGAAGGUAGGAGCCACCAGUCAGGCCGACAAGCUACUAGGCUGAGAGCCUGAGUAUUCACUACAGCCUGGUCCAUCUCCCCACCUGCUGAUUACUUCAUGGAUUUGCUUCCCGCAAAUAUAUCUCCAUGGAGCUCUCUGGAGACGCCUUGGAAGAUGUCCACUUUCAUAGAUCGGAGCCAAUUUUGAUGCCAAUAAAGAGCCUCAGAAGCUGAGCUCAUAAACCGGUCACCCCUUUCCUGGUAACUAGAAGGAGAAUCACGGAAGCCGCAAUGCUGAAGGCAUCGCUUCACACUUCAGUCAUGCAAACGGUGGGAAGCUCUCAAGGUGAGUGUCAUAACAUGAAGGCCAUGCUCCAGAGCAGCGUUCAGGGAAGCCAAAUAAACUAAGAACCUUAACCCCAAUCUCCCCACCCUCUGUCCACACCGCGGUCACACUGACUUAACUCACCAUUUAUUUUUUCAGGGGGGGUGGGGAGUUUGGCUGAAAAGGGGGAGACAGUGAAGAGAGAGACCUACACACAGUGAGGUGCAUGAUAGGCAGAGUUUCCCCAAAUCCAGUCACCCUCAUAUUCCACCAUACAAUCUUCUGCUAUAUCUGCAUACCACCAGGAUUAUUUAGUCAUAUUUUUAAAAGACAGUUUAUACCAUAGCUAAAAUUGAAAAACAAAUAUCACAUUCUGUACACCCCUCCCUAUACAAAGUAUAAUUAUUGACUUUUUUAAAAUAUUGUCAAAGAGAAUGGGCACAGAAUCCGGGAGGGCAGUGGUGUGCGAGCACGGGCACAGAUGGCCGAGUCUGGUCUCCUCCCUGAAGGAGAGGCAAAUCCCAGGACGGGGCAGAGCACAUGCCCAAAGGGGCAGCGAUGUGACCUACUGACGGAGGAAGAGGGCUUUCAGACAGGCCUGGGUGACACUCUGAGCACCAACCACAGGACUAUCUAGGUGAGUUAGGCGAGUUACUUCAUCACCCUAUCCCACAGAAGGGCCACAAACCUCCUUUUCACAGCGAUUGUAGAAAGCAAAUAAAACAACGUACUAGCACUUAGCACCCUGCUCAGUACAAGGCAUCUAUUACAGUUGCUGCUGCUGCUGCUUUACCUCUAAAAGGAGGAAAAGCAAACACAGCUCCUGGACAGGACUGCCCUAAACCCAUUGUUUUUAGCUCAUGUUUAUGAAGGGAUUGGCUUACUUGGUGCCAGGCAUUAUGCUAAGCACUGGACAUUAAUGCUCAUUUGAUCCUUAUCUCUUUGGAGCCUCCCAAUAACCCUAUUAGGUAACUGUUAUUAGUAUCCCUAUUUUACAGAAGAAAAAAGUGGGACUUGCCCCAGGUCAUCCGGUAAUAAAUCAGUGAGCUGGCUUCCACUCUGGUCUCUGUGAAAGCAAAUAAAAACUGUGCAGAGCUGCAGGAGCAUGAACUCUGCUACAGCACUGCCCUCCGCUUGACUUUCCUUACCUCUUCACCACACAGUGUAGCCUUAAAGGGCCAAAAUUCUCCACACAGAGUAACUGGGGAAAAAUCAGUUCAAAUACAUUUUCAUGUCUAUUAUAUUAUAAAUUAAAUGUAAUAAAUCCUUUCAACUAAAUGUAUUUGCAAUAAACCUGCCAAAAAACCCACACUUGGAAACACUUGAGAUGAACCAUUUUUAAUACUGACAUCCCAAGAAUGAUGAGAAAGUCCUAUGAAUGAAUGUGUAGCUGUAAUUACCCUGUAACAUUUUUCUCUAAUAAUGCCUCUACUGCUUGUCUUGCAGACCAACCCUCUCCAAAGCGUAUUGUGGUAGCUCUUCAAAUAUUCUGUACUCUCGUAUAAUUUGUUUAUAUUCCCUAUUCCAUUUCACAGAGACUGUCAUUAU